AAUCCUGGUCGGACAUCAGGAGGUUAGUGCAAUGGCAUAAGCCAGCUUGACUGCGAGCGUGACGGCGCGAGCAGGUGCGAAAGCAGGUCAUAGUGAUCCGGUGGUUCUGAAUGGAAGGGCCAUCGCUCAACGGAUAAAAGGUACUCCGGGGAUAACAGGCUGAUACCGCCCAAGAGUUCAUAUCGACGGCGGUGUUUGGCACCUCGAUGUCGGCUCAUCACAUCCUGGGGCUGAAGUAGGUCCCAAGGGUAUGGCUGUUCGCCAUUUAAAGUGGUACGCGAGCUGGGUUUAGAACGUCGUGAGACAGUUCGGUCCCUAUCUGUCGUGGGCGCUGGAGAACUGAGGGGGGCUGCUCCUAGUACGAGAGGACCGGAGUGGACGCAUCACUGGUGUUCGGGUUGUCAUGCCAAUGGCACUGCCCGGUAGCUAAAUGCGGAAGAGAUAAGUGCUGAAAGCAUCUAAGCACGAAACUUGCCCCGAGAUGAGUUCUCCCUGAGACUUAGAGUCUCCUGAAGGAACGUUGAAGACGACGACGUUGAUAGGCCGGGUGUGUAAGCGCAGCGAUGCGUUGAGCUAACCGGUACUAAUGAACCGUGAGGCUUAACCUUACAACGCCGAAG
rnacentral:rRNA from 2 species